rnacentral:snoRNA from 1 species
UACAUUGAAUGAUGAUCAAAUCAACGCAAUCUUAGGACACCUUCCUACACGGCAUCAAACACCGUGGAUGAGAGUGAACGAUAUUCUGACAAUGGU